UACGUAGGUCCCGAGCGUUGUCCGGAUUUAUUGGGCGUAAAGCGAGCGCAGGUGGUUUAUUAAGUCUGGUGUAAAAGGCAGUGGCUCAACCAUUGUAUGCAUUGGAAACUGGUAGACUUGAGUGCAGGAGAGGAGAGUGGAAUUCCAUGUGUAGCGGUGAGAUGCGUAGAUAUAUGGAGGAACACCGGUGGCGAAAGCGGCUCUCUGGCCUGUAACUGACACUGAGGCUCGAAAGCGUCGGGAGCAAACAGG
rnacentral:rRNA from 1 species